rnacentral:rRNA from 1 species
UACAGAGGUCUCAAGCGUUGUUCGGAUUCAUUGGGCGUAAAGGGUGUGUAGGUGGCGCCGUAAGUCGGGUGUGAAAUCUCGGGGCUUAACUCCGAAACUGCAUUCGAUACUGCGGUGCUUGAGGACUGGAGGGGAGACUGGAAUUCACGGUGUAGCAGUGAAAUGCGUAGAUAUCGUGAGGAAGACCAGUGGCGAAGGCGGGUCUCUGGACAGUUCCUGACACUGAGGCACGAAGGCCAGGGGAGCAAACGGG